rnacentral:misc_RNA from 1 species
GGUCAAUGAAGCUUAUGGAUGUUUUGAAAAGAAGGAUUUCUUCUUUUUGAAAGGGAAAUGAUCCUUGCAUCCACAAGAAGCGGUUCAGAAGACCUACUUCAGUACCACAUACCCCCUUGGGUAUUCCAGUGGAUCCAGAUGUGUACAUCAAGUAGCAGAAUGAUCUCAACCUUUCACUUUCACAAGGCCAGGCUAACGAUGAGUCAGAUUUUUUUCGCAUGACAUUCUCUAUUGACAUAUAAAAAAGGGGAUAACUGCCUUUAUGAAUGAGCCAUCGUAAUUUAUCAAGCUG